GGGCCCGUAACUCAGCUUGGCCUAGAGUGUCUGGCUUUUAACCAGAAAGCCGUGGGUUCAAACCCAUAUCCCCUUUUCUUUCCCAAAAGAAAAGGGUCUGAGGGUUUCAAUCCCACCGGGCCCG
rnacentral:tRNA from 1 species